rnacentral:rRNA from 1 species
UACGUAGGGGGCAAGCGUUGUCCGGAUUUAUUGGGCGUAAAGAGCGUGUAGGCGGCCAGGUAGGUCCGCUGUGAAAACUCGAGGCUCAACCUCGAGAUGUCGGCGGAAACCAUCUGGCUAGAGUCCGGAAGAGGAGAGUGGAAUUCCUGGUGUAGCGGUGAAAUGCGUAGAGAUCAUGAGGAAGACCAGUGGCGAAGGCGGGUCUCUGGACAGUUCCUGACACUGAGGCACGAAGGCCAGGGGAGCAAACGGG